rnacentral:ncRNA from 1 species
UAAAGCGUUUCUUGCUUAUAUUUUUAUAUUUUUAUAUUUUAGAUACAAGAUAUUUCUGGAGUUAGUAACAGUUUAAAUAGGUGUUAAUUUUAAAUUGUAGUGGAUAUUUUUUUUUUAUUUUAAUAAUUUAAGAGUAAGUAAUAAAGUUUUAAUUUAAACAAAUUUUGUGCCAGCAGUAGCGGUUAAACAGAAUAUGUAAUAAAAAUUUUUCGUAAAUAGUUAAUAUUUUUUAAGUGUUUAAAAAUUAAUUUUGGAAAUUUGAUUAUAAAGUGAAAUUUGAAUCUUGUUUUAUGUUUUGUUUAUGAAACUAUUAAAUUUUUGCAUAAAACUAGGAUUAGAUACCCUAUUAUAUAAACUUAGACAAUGAAUUUUAUAUUAUUAAUAGUUAAGUUCUUGAAAGUAAAUAUAGUUGGCGGUGAUUUAUUCUAUUCAGAGGAACUUGUUUUAUAAAUGAUAAUCCACGAUUAAAUUGGCUUAAAUUUUUAGUUUGUAUAUCGCCGUGGUAGAAUAUCUUUUUAGGGGUUAAUAUUCAAAAUUUAUAUAAAAUUUAUAGCAGGUCAAGAUAUAGCUUAUAUUUAAGAAAUGAUGAGUUACAAUUAUUUUAAUAUUAGAUUAGUAAUUUAAAAAAUUCUAUGAAAUUGGAUUUGAGUGUAAAUAUAUAAAUAUAUAUAAAUUGAUUUUGGCUCUAAAUUAUGUACAUAUUGCCCGUCGCUUUCAUAUAAAAUGAAAUAAGUCGUAACAAAGUAGGUGUACUGGAAAGUGUAUCUAGAAACAG